GACCAAUGGAGUCCGUUGAAUCCAGAAGGAAAGCGUCAAUAUGACAGGGAUUUUCUUUUGCAGAUCCAGUUUACAAAGUUUUGCAUCACAAAACCAAACACACUGGCCAAAAUCAAACAUGUUGUUUUUGACACGGUCUGGUCAUUCCUUUUUGGAAAAUUCUGUAAAAAAAAGCGUUACAAUAAGUACAAAAACUAAAUAAUAAAAGACUACGAAGAAGAAUCUGGUAUAUUUUGGGUAAAAUUCCAUGUCAGUCCCAUUUUUAUCCAACGUUAUAUUACUAUCAAUGGAAUAAAUGUUAAUAUCCUAAAAGGUACCGACAUAAUAGUCCUCAUUCUCCCACUUUUCCAGUUACUCUGUUCAAAAGGCCGGAAAUGUGACAUUUUAACACCUGAAAUUCAAACUUUUCUCAGGGCAGCAUGUUCAGACCGUGAAAUACAUUUAUUUUCAUCUCCCAGGCCAAUGAACCGACACCA